rnacentral:rRNA from 1 species
UACGUAGGGGGCAAGCGUUGUCCGGAAUUAUUGGGCGUAAAGCGCGUGUAGGCGGCUCGGUAAGUCUGCUGUGAAAGCCCAGGGCUCAACCCUGGAAUGCCGGUGGAUACUGUCGAGCUCGAGUCCGGAAGAGGCGAGUGGAAUUCCUGGUGUAGCGGUGAAAUGCGCAGAUAUCAGGAGGAACACCAAUGGCGAAGGCAGCUCGCUGGGACGGUACUGACGCUGAGACGCGAAAGCGUGGGGAGCAAACAGG